ACUCAAGGCCGUUCCUCCAUUCCCAGAAAAGUCCUGUGUUUUCAGAGUGUACCCAGAAUCCACCUAACAGAGCUUCCUUAUGCUUUGAUGUAGAAUCUCACCCCUGGAGAGACUGGAGGGUAUAUGAAAGGUAUGAGAAGAGGCGAGGGGGAGAAAGAAGUAGAGGCAGAGAAAAGUUAGAGAUAGAUUAGAGCUUGCUUGCUUGCUUAUGCUGUAAUGCUGAAUAAAUAAAGACCUUGAGUGGACUAUCAGUCCCAGCCUGCCUUUUGUCCUAAUACUCGCGCUGCUGGACAGCACAAGUGGUGGCCCAUACUGGGAGGACACUCCUUCAUCGAGGACAAAAACAGCGGAUCAGCUGAGGACCCCCGGGAGAAAAAGCUUCGGCUGAAGUGAAAGGGGUUUGCUUGUGUUGUUACAGAGGAUCAAUGCUUGAUCUGGCCGCCCAGAAAAUGAAUUCAGAUACGAUAUGAAGGAGAACUUCCAACAUCAACAUCCUCUGGAGGAGUCAUUCUAGAAGAGCCUGCCGCUGUCGCAGUUGCAGCUGCGUUCCUCCUGCCAGUUCCUGGACUUUUCGUUGGAAUGCAGAAAGAGAUAUCUAAGCUAGCAAAACAACAAAUUUGACUGCUUCUGUAUUAUCUGAACUAAACCAAGAACUGGGAAAAUUGCGAGCUGCGGUGCUUCAGAGUCACGCUGCUGUGGACUGUCUGCUGUUAAAAGAGCAUGUAGGAUAUGAACAGUUCAGAAGAAUGUGCUGUUUCAAUUUGUCUGAUUUUUCUCAAACUACCCAAAAUCAAUUAGAUGAUAUCCAUCAUAUUGUCAAUAAGUUUUUACAAAUGCCUAAGCUAUCUAACUAGUUUUCUCAAUUUCAUUAGAUAUAACUAGUGAUUGUAAGUCUGCCUUUGUUGUGUAUCUGUAUUCCUAUUGUUAAUAUUUGUAUGCAAUUUAACUAGUAGUUUGUUAAAACCUAUAUAUAUAUAUAUUUAAGUUAUGUCUGUCUUUUGACAUGUUCGAUCUCAGCCAUGUAAUGCAUAUUUCCCACAAAACUGGGAUACCAUAUAAUCCACAAGGCCAAGGCAUUGUGGAACGUGCCCAUGGCACCCUUAAAGCUCAAUUGGAAGAAACAAAAAAGGGGGAAUUAUAUCCCCGGUCACCACAGAACCAUUUAAAUCAUAUCUUAUUUGCAGCCAAAACUGCAUCUGAUAUAUUAAAUCAGAUAAAAGACAUGUGCAAAGAACCCCUGAAUAGUCUCUGGCACGCUGUCAUGCCUCUCUUAACCCUAAGCAUUUUAUGUGUUGUAUUGCUGUUACUAGGGCCUUGUGUCCUUCGCAGCAUGUGGAAACUCAUCCAACAAGCUUUAAGAGACUUGCAUUAUUUGAAAUUGCAGAUGGCCCCCCCACUUGUAAAUCAUAAGUUCUAAAGUCAAGUGUGAUAGCCAAUGAUGGGUAAGAUAUGGUUGAAUUAUAAAUACUAACCUAAGACAGGAAGUGGUCGACAGAGGACUAUAGCCCCAUGACGGGUAAGGAUUUACUUCAACCAUACAACCUAAGACAGGCACAUACCUUGACCCAGUCUGAGUCGAGCUAGUUGUUUUAUUAAACAAAAAAAGGGGGAGAUGUUGGGACCCGUGCCUAACCAGCCAGAGCAGUGAGUCAUCUCUGACCUCUCACAAGCUGCAACCGCACUCAAGGCCGUUCCUCCAUUCCCAGAAAUGUCCUGUGUUUUCAGAGUGUACCCGGAAUCCACCUAACAGAGCUUCCUUAUGCUUUGAUGUAGAAUCUCACCCCCGGAGAGGCUGGAGGGUAUAAGAACGGUAUGAGAAGAGGCGAGGGGGAGAAAGGUAGAAGUAGAGGCAAAGUUAGAUAUAGAUUAGAGCUUGCUUGCUUGCUUAUGCUGUAAUGCUGAAUAAAUAAAGACCUUGAGUGAA